rnacentral:rRNA from 1 species
UACGAAGGGUGCAAGCGUUAAUCGGAAUUACUGGGCGUAAAGGGUGCGUAGGCGGUUUGUUAAGUCUGUUGUGAAAUCCCCGGGCUCAACCUGGGAAUUGCAUUCGAUACUGGCAGACUAGAGUAUGGUAGAGGGUAGCGGAAUUCCCGGUGUAGCGGUGAAAUGCGUAGAUAUCGGGAAGAACACCAGUGGCGAAGGCGGCUACCUGGACCAAUACUGACGCUGAGGUGCGAAAGCGUGGGGAGCAAACAGG